ACUCCUACGGGAGGCAGCAGUCGAGAAUCAUUCACAAUGGGCGAAAGCCUGAUGGUGCGACGCCGCGUGGAGGACGAAGGCCCUAGGGUCGUAAACUCCUGUCAUCAGGGAGUAAGGUGUUCACUAGUAACUGAGUGGGCAAUUGAUAGUACCUGAAGAGGAAGGACGGCUAACUUCGUGCCAGCAGCCGCGGUAAUACGAAGGUCCCGAGCGUUGUUCGGAUUUACUGGGCGUAAAGAGUCUGUAGGCGGUAGAGUAAGUCAGAUGUGAAAUCCCGGAGCUCAACUCCGGAACUGCAUCCGAUAGCUGCUUUACUUGAGUGUUGGAGGGGAAACUGGAAUUCUCGGUGUAGCAGUGAAAUGCGUGGAUAUCGAGAGGAACACUAGUGGCGAAGGCGAGUUUCUGGACAACUACUGACGCUGAGAGACGAAGGCCAGGGUAGCGAAAAGGAUUAGAUACCCUGGUAGGUCAGU
rnacentral:rRNA from 1 species